rfam:Schistosoma margrebowiei strain Zambia genome assembly, scaffold: SMRZ_scaffold0000043
AUUCAGUAGACGAGUCCCGAAUAGGACGAAACGUGAGUCCUGGAU